rnacentral:rRNA from 1 species
GACGAACGCUGGCGGCGUGCUUAACACAUGCAAGUCGAACGGUAAGGCCCUUCGGGGUACACGAGUGGCGAACGGGUGAGUAACACGUGGGUGAUCUGCCCUGCACUUCGGGAUAAGCCUGGGAAACUGGGUCUAAUACCGGAUAGGACCAUUGCCUGCAUGGGUGUGGUGGAAAGCUUUUGCGGUGUGGGAUGGGCCCGCGGCCUAUCAGCUUGUUGGUGGGGUGAUGGCCUACCAAGGCGACGACGGGUAGCCGGCCUGAGAGGGUGACCGGCCACACUGGGACUGAGAUACGGGCCAGACUCCUACGGGAGGCAGCAGUGGGGAAUAUUGCACAAUGGGCGCAAGCCUGAUGCAGCGACGCCGCGUGAGGGAUGACGGCCUUCGGGUUGUAAACCUCUUUCAGCAUCGACGAAGCGCAAGUGACGGUAGGUGCAGAAGAAGGACCGGCCAACUACGUGCCAGCCGCCGCCGUAA